rnacentral:rRNA from 1 species
UACGGAGGGUGCAAGCGUUAUCCGGAUUCACUGGGUUUAAAGGGUGCGUAGGCGGGCAAGUAAGUCAGUGGUGAAAUCUCCAAGCUUAACUUGGAAACUGCCGUUGAUACUAUCUGUCUUGAAUGUUGUGGAGGUGAGCGGAAUAUGUCAUGUAGCGGUGAAAUGCUUAGAUAUGACAUAGAACACCAAUUGCGAAGGCAGCUCACUACACAAAUAUUGACGCUGAGGCACGAAAGCGUGGGGAUCAAACAGG